rnacentral:rRNA from 9 species
CGCACAAGCGGCGGAGCAUGUGGAUUAAUUCGAUGCAACGCGAAGAACCUUACCUGGGCUUGACAUGUAUGGAUUAGCUCUUGGAAACAUGAGUGACGCCCUUUGGGUGGAACAUACACAGGUGCUGCAUGGCUGUCGUCAGCUCGUGCUGUGAAGUGUCGGGUUAAGUCCCUUAACGAGCGCAACCCUUAUCGCUAGUUGCCAGCGCGUCAUGGCGGGGACUCUAGCGAGACUGCCGGUGUCAAACCGGAGGAAGGUGGGGAUGACGUCAAGUCCUCAUGGCCUUUAUGCCCAGGGAUGCAAACGUGCUACAAUGGUACGGACAAAGCGAUGCGAUACCGCGAGGUGGAGCAAAUCGCAAAAACCGUGCCCCAGUUCGGAUAGCAGGCUGAAAUUCGCCUGCUUGAAGCCGGAAUCGCUAGUAAUCGCGUAUCAGCAUGACGCGGUGAAUACGUUC